rnacentral:rRNA from 1 species
AGUGAACGCUGGCGGUAGGCCUAACACAUGCAAGUCGAACGGCAGCACAGUAAGAGCUUGCUCUUACGGGUGGCGAGUGGCGGACGGGUGAGGAAUACAUCGGAAUCUACUUUUUCGUGGGGGAUAACGUAGGGAAACUUACGCUAAUACCGCAUACGACCUACGGGUGAAAGCAGGGGAUCUUCGGACCUUGCGCGAUUGAAUGAGCCGAUGUCGGAUUAGCUAGUUGGCGGGGUAAAGGCCCACCAAGGCGACGAUCCGUAGCUGGUCUGAGAGGAUGAUAAGCCACACUGGAACUGAGACACGGACAAGGCUCCUACGGGAGGGAGCAGUGGGGAAUAUUGGACAAUGGGCGCAAGCCUGAUCCAGCCAUACCGCGUGGGUGAAGAAGGCCUUCGGGUUGGAAAGCCCUUUUGUUGGGAAAGAAAAGCAGCAGGUUAAUACCCCGCUGUUCUGACGGUACCCAAAGAAUAAGCACCGGCUAACUUCGUG